rnacentral:RNase_P_RNA from 2 species
GGAGUCGGCCAGGCAGCCGCCGUGAACCGUUCGGGUCACGGAGGAAAGUCCGGGCUCCGGAGGGCAGGGUGCCAGGUAACGCCUGGGGGGCAUGAGCCCACGGAAAGUGCCACAGAAAACAUACCGCCAAAGCGCCGCAGGCGCCGGCAAGGGUGAAAAGGUGCGGUAAGAGCGCACCGCGCGAGUGGUAACACGUCGCGGCACGGUAAACCCCACCCGGAGCAAGACCAAAUAGGGGGGCAGUCCCCGGGUAGGUCGCUAGAGGUGCGCGGCGACGCGCAUCCCAGAUGAAUGGCUGUCCACGACAGAACCCGGCUUAUCGGCCGACUCCUUUU